AGUGAACGCUGGCGGUAGGCCUAACACAUGCAAGUCGAACGGCAGCACAGUAAGAGCUUGCUCUUACGGGUGGCGAGUGGCGGACGGGUGAGGAAUACAUCGGAAUCUACUUUUUCGUGGGGGAUAACGUAGGGAAACUUACGCUAAUACCGCAUGCGACCUACGGGUGAAAGCAGGGGAUCUUCGGACCUUGCGCGAUUGAAUGAGCCGAUGUCGGAUUAGCUAGUUGGCGGGGUAAAGGCCCACCAAGGCGACGAUCCGUAGCUGGUCUGAGAGGAUGAUCAGCCACACUGGAACUGAGACACGGUCCAGACUCCUACGGGAGGCAGCAGUGGGGAAUAUUGGACAAUGGGCGCAAGCCUGAUCCAGCCAUACCGCGUGGGUGAAGAAGGCCUUCGGGUUGUAAAGCCCUUUUGUUGGGAAAGAAAAGCGGCAGGUUAAUACCCCGCUGUUCCGACGGUACCCAAAGAAUAAACACCGGCUAACUUCGU
rnacentral:rRNA from 1 species